GGAGGUGGCAAGCGUUGUUCGGGAAUUACUGGGCGUAAAGGGGCGCGUAGCGGGGGAGGGCAAGUCGGGUGUGAAAUCCCUCGGCCCAACCGAGGAACGGCGCUCGAAACUGCUUCUCUUGAGUCCCGGAGAGGAAGGUGGAAUUCCCGGUGUAGCGGUGAAAUGUGUAGAGAUCGGGAGGAACACCGGUCGCGAAGGCGGCCUUCUGGACGGUGACUGACGCUGAGGCGCGAAAGCGUGGGUAGCAAACGGGAUUAGACUACCCCGGUAGUCCACGCUGUAAACGAUGGGUGCUAGGUGUGGGGGGUAUCGACCCCUUCCGUGCCGAAGCUAACGCAUUAAGCACCCCGCCUGGGGAGUACGGCCGCAAGGUUG
rnacentral:rRNA from 1 species